GAGCUUUUCUCCCCUCUCUCGGUCGUGCUGGAAGGGCACGGCGGCUAACAUUGAGCUUUCGGGGGAGAAACCUCAGGAAAGGAUGGAAAAAUUCAACCCCAGCACAUAAGAAAAGGGAGCCCCAAACACAGAGAGACAGAAAGGUGAGCUCAGCCUGCCCCCCGACAGCCACCACCACACCUGUAACAAAAUCAAAGUUUAAUGACAACAACCAGCACUGCUGCUGUGGAAGAGGACGGAGCUGGAUCCCAGCAGAGGAGCUGUGGCCAGGCUCAGGAGUCAUGGGCGUCUUCAUCCUUAGCUUCCACUGCAGGCUUCAUUUCUGGAUGGGGUUGGAGGAAGAAGACAUCAUUAUCUGGGCCUUUGAACCACCUCAACCCAGCAUCCUGGGCUUUUCUCAGUCAGCUAGCCCAGAGCUGCUUGUGCUAGCCCUGCAGUUGCCAUGCCAACAAGGAUGCUAAAUACAGCUCAAUCUUUCUUUCUUUCCAUAUUUAUUCAUUUUAAAACCACAGACCGCAGGCUGCAUGUUAGGGCCAGGAAAGGAGUGCAGACAUUCUGGCUCCCACCCUGCCAGGGAUGAGCUGUCUUGCAGAGCCCAGAAACCACAGCGAGCAGCUUGAGAAGACAGCAAAGAAGGUCCCCCCAGCUCCCCAAAAAUCCAAGCAUGUGAGAGAGGAAGCGUUGGUGUCUUGGGAGCCUGCCCACCACCCCACUGUCACAGCAACAGCAGAACAUCACACCAGCACCCCAAAAUUUAGUUUGCCCCCACCCAUCAGUAGGCUGGGUUGUCGUCUUCUCCAAAAAUGAGGACAACCCCCAGCCCCCCAAUUAGACCAGAGUUUGGGUUUAAGCCUCCAGCUCUGCAGUCUCCUCAGCAAAACUGUUCCUAUAGCAACUCCUGCCCACGCAUGGGCUCGUGGUAGCAUCACGGCCCUGGCUGCCAGAACCAGUCUCCGGUCAGAAAUAGGGAAGAUGGAGCCAUCGCCCCCUCAGCAACCCUCCGCAGCACCCCAGUCCAAAAAGCUUAAAGGUCUGGGCAGAGGUUAAGGGCCAGAGCAGACAGAUUCUGCCUCACCCCCAAGGUGGAAUGCAACAGUGCGGGUGCUGAGAAGACAGCGAAUAGGGCAUCUCUACCCCAGGGAACCUACCGAUGGCCUCGCCAUUGCCCAGGGGCGUACAAGGCUGGUGUUUGGGCUUGGUGGCCUCCAGCCCGGCCAGCAGCGUCAUGAAGUCAACAACGGUGUCGAUGUCCUGCUUCUCAGCAGUGGCCUCCCGCAAGGCACUGACGGCAUUGAGGCGGCUGAAGGACGUCAGCUCGGAGAUGUUGGCCCGGAGGAAGAGGAGGAUGACAUUGAGGUCGUUGAUGGGACAGGUAAGCAUCUUGCGACUGAGAAGGUCAAAGGCAGGCAGCAUCUCAUAGACGGAGAGCAGCCCUUUGUCCCACUGACAGAGCUGCAGGGCACUGUAGACGACGACAGGCAUAAGGAGGACAUACACACCACCAACCGUGAGGCUGAUGAGCUGGAAGACAGAGAAGAAGGCCAGCUUGCAGGGUAUGAGCGGGGGAACAUGAGGCUCAUCCUGGAGCAGCCCUGUUUUGAUGGAGCAGCUGAACUCAUCCUGGAAGAAGAUGUUGAGGUGGAGGAAGACCAGGUAGAGGCAAGUGGCAGCCAAGAACAAGAGCAGGAGGAGGUUCCUCAGGAGGUAGAUGAUGACCAGGGAGUGGGAGUGCUGCUUGCGGGCAAGGUAGCGCUCCAGCAAAGGGAACUCAAAGUACCUCUCCUGGCGAGCCCUGGGGAGAGAGCAGUGAGUUGGAGCCACCCCACUGCUUCACCAAAGCCACAGUGAGGGAGGAGGUGACCCAAAGGUGGUGUGGAGAGGCUACGGCUGGAUGCCUGUGCCGCGCUGUCUCACCUCUCGUACUCCUCCCAGAACUGCUCCGGAUCGUCGCUCGCCUGCUGGACCUUCCUCAUGUGCUGCACCAGGCGCACGGAGCGGUUGUAGGACUUGUCCAGCUCGUCGAUGAUGAAGAGGAGGUCAGAGUGGAGGGCGGGGGAGGCUGCGUAGCGCCACAGCAGGUAGGGCAGAUACAUGAGCACUGCCACCACCAGCAGUGAGUACGGGAAGACCUGAGGGAGACCAUCUGUAGGUUAGGGUUCCCCAGGAGAGAGGGAUUUCAGGGGGAGAUGAGGCGCUCAGCUACUUUGCCCUUCAGGAUCCGCCCCCACCAACACGGCAGCAGGACCUGGUAGCACCCAGUCACCGAGGUGGUGGCCCCGUGCCAGCCCACCAGUGUACCUUGAGAGCCCAAAGGGACUUGGUGACAGCACGUCCCUCAGCAUCGAAGCCAUGGUGGAGGAGUGAGUCCCAGCAAGCUGUGUCAGCAUAGGCAGAUUGCUUCCCCGUGAAGUUGGAGGGCGAGAAACAGCUGAUCUGUGAACCUACAAGGAGGAGGGGAGCUGAGCAGGUAGGAUGGGGCUCUCUGUAGUUAUCUGUCCCUGUUGCAGUGUUUUCUGGCUGUCAGGGGCAAGGGCGUUACUAUUUCUUGAACGCUGCCCUUUAAGCACAGCCACAGGUUCAUAGCAGGGAAAUUUGAACCAGACACAAACCAGCACAAAACCAAACAUUGCAGGGCCACAUAAAAACAGUGGCAAAUCCAGCUUUAGCUCAGUGCUGUGAUGCACAAAACAGCACUUCCAAUGAAGCUUUGUGCUGCUAUCACCAGCCUGCUCUCAUUAUCCAAGCAAGCACCAAACCCUGGGACAGUAAAACCCCCAAAGAGUCCCAGGGAAGAUCUCAGCACCCCGCUGACAGCUCCCAACAAAACAACCCUGCCUUUGUGAUAGGAGCACUGCAGGGUGCUGUGAGCAGGGCAGCAGGUGAAAGGGGGCAUGGCUGCACUCGGAGGGCUACCAGCAAGCAAUUAAAAAGAGAAUAAAUAAAAAAUCAAUAAAAGCUUUUACAUCAAACAACAAAA